AAGUAACAACAAGAGCUAAAUUACGACUGUCAUAUUGCAUUGCCUUUUGCGGGAUAUUGCAUCCAACUACACCUCAAACAACAGCGAUUCCGCUGCGGAUAAACAGCUUCCUCAUUUUCAUCCAUUUACUAAAUUUACGGCAAGGGUGGAUAUUUUCUAGCAUGUAUCCCCACCACCCACCGCACGGUCCACCACCUCCGGGUCCGCCUCACCAUGGGCCCCCGCAUCAUCCACAUGGACCACCGCCACCACCACACCAUGGUCCACCACCGCCUCACCACGGCCCACCGCCGCAUCACCAUGGCCCUCCUCCGCCGCAUCAUGGUCCCCCACCACCACCACCCCAUGGACCACCCCAUCACCAUCAUCACCCCCAUUUUUAGUUAUACUAACUGAGUGCAGGCAAGGCUCGUGUCCGUCCCAGAUGGCGUAAGGUGUCAGGAUAGGACCUACUACUUAUAUCGAUUAGGGGAACCAAAGAAUUAGAUUAGUGGCUCGAUUUUCAUUGUAUUGAUCUCUUUGUAUCACAUCUCAUUGUUAAUAUUGUUACAUUGUUAUUAAUACCACUGUUAUCACUAUUAUUGUUGUUAUGAAUAUCAAUUAUUCUGAACACUAUAAAUUGUAUAAUAUGAUAUGUCGCAAAGUUUAUGAAAAUAAAAUAUUUAUACUGUA